CUAAAGUGUCAUUUUAAUACACUUUAUGGAGGAAGGGGCCCAGGAAUGCUUGUGCUGAAAGGUCCCAGGCGUUAAACGCGGCCCCAGUGCAGGUCCCUGGGGUGGUCCAGGCUCCGCGGUGCUCAGUCCCUGCAGAGCGGGGCGGGGAGGCUGCGUGUCCUGGGGUCAGAGAGGCCCCUGGGAGCCUCUGUUUGAGGACACUGAGGGCAGGGUCUGGACACGGGUUCCAGCCUGCAUGCUGCCCCUGGCUUCUUGCGUGGUCCUGGGAGAGGCACCUGCAACCCUCCUUGGGGCCUCAGUUUCCCCUUUGUCCAGGGCAUGGUCAGGCCUAGUGGUCCCCAGGGACCCAGAAAGGCAUGAACUCCAUUAGGUCCCAGAGCUUCCCACUCAGGCUGGGGCCGAGGCACCAGGCGGGGGCUGCCCGAGGGCUGCGAGGGUCUGCGAAGCCCCUGUGGGUCAAGGCCACCUUUGUGGGAAGCCGUGGGCCAGGCCCUGGCUGGCGCUGAUGCCCAUGGCCGUGUGGAGUAGGAGCUGCAGAACUCAGGGGGAAACUAGGGGACUGUUCUGACCCAGAAUGUGGAGCCGCGCAGGCUCCUUAUGGGGAGAAGGACGGAGGACGGGGUUCUGUGCUCCCUGCCGACAGGGACCCUCCCUCAACGUUGACACUGAGAAGUGGAGGAUGCUCUUUCUGGAACAUACCGCUAAGCGUGACCCCGUACAAGUCGUACCAGCCAGCUAUGGCCCCGGAACACUGCGUGACAAGGUGCCCCACAACUUAGCGCCUUAAAACAGCAGCAUUUAUGAUUUCUCGUGAGUUGAGGGUGGGUCUGAUGGGUGUGCUGAUCUGCUGGACUCUCCGUGUCAGUCAUGUCUGACGGCUCUCCCUUCUGCUUAUAAUGACACGUGUGUGUGGGACGUUUAUGGGGACGUGAGUGGAAUAAGUCAGCUGUACACUUACCCACACAGCAUCGACACACAGGAGGCGCUCAACACACGUAUGUUGAAGGAACAAGUUACUCUUUUCAGGCUUGGCCCAAGUCUCACCUCCUCCAGGAAGCCCUCCGCGAUUGCUCUAAUUGACACGGAGCUCAUCCACCUCCUGAGAGUCAGGGCAGCGUGGCCAUUCAGAGCACAGACCCCAGAGCCGGGUAGCCCGGGGUCAAAUCCUGCCUCACCCCUUCGCAGCCUCUCUGUGCCUUAGUUUCCUUGUCUAUAAAAUGGGCAAAAAUAUAGCAAUCCAAGAGGGGCUUAGCACGUGGUAAACGCUUAGGAAGUGUUAGAUCAAGUGAACGAAGCCAGACACAAACGGUCACAUGGUCCACUUAUAGGAAAUGUCCGCAACAGGCAAGUCUGUGUGGACAGAAUGCAG
rnacentral:lncRNA from 1 species